rnacentral:rRNA from 1 species
GAUGAACGCUGGCGGCGUGCCUAAUACAUGCAAGUCGAGCGAACAGACGAGGAGCUUGCUCCUCUGACGUUAGCGGCGGACGGGUGAGUAACACGUGGAUAACCUACCUAUCAGACUGGGAUAACUUCGGGAAACCGGAGCUAAUACCGGAUAAUAUAUUGAACCGCAUUGUUCAAUAGUGAAAGACGGUUUUGCUGUCACUUAUAGCUGGAUCCGCGCCGCAUUAGCUAGUUGGUAAGUUAACGGCCUACCAAGGCAACGAUGCGUAGCCGACCUGAGAGGGUGAUCGGCCACACUGGAACUGAGACACGGUCCAGACUCCUACGGGAGGCAGCAGUAGGGAAUCUUCCGCAAUGGGCGAAAGCCUGACGGAGCAACGCCGCGUGAGUGAUGAAGGUCUUCGGAUCGUAAAACUCUGUUAUUAGGGAAGAACAAAUGUGUAAGUAAAUAUGCACGUCUUGACGGUACCUAAUCAGAAAGCCACGGCUAACUACGUG